rnacentral:rRNA from 1 species
AGAGUUUGAUCAUGGCUCAGAAUCAACGCUGGCGGCGUGCCUAACACAUGCAAGUCGAACGCGAAAAGUCCCGCAAGGGAUCAGUAGAGUGGCAAACGGGUGAGUAACGCGUGGGUGACCUGCCUUCGAGCGGGGGGAUAACGUUCCGAAAGGGACGCUAAUACCGCAUAACAUCCUGCCUUUUAAGAGGUGGAGAUCAAAGCCUGGGACCGCAAGGCCAGGCACUCGAAGAGGGGCCCGCGUCCGAUUAGCUAGUUGGUGGGGUAAUGGCUCACCAAGGCUCCGAUCGGUAUCCGGCCUGAGAGGGCGGACGGACACACUGGGACUGAGACACGGCCCAGACUCCUACGGGAGGCAGCAGUGGGGAAUUGUUCGCAAUGGGCGCAAGCCUGACGACGCAACGCCGCGUGGAGGAUGAAGAUCUUCGGGUCGUAAACUCCUUUCGAUCGAGACGAACGGCUUCCGGGUAACAUCCGGAAGAGUGACGGUACCGAGAGAAGAAGCCCCGGCUAACUCCGUGCCAGCAGCUGCGGUAAUACGGGGGGGGCAAGCGUUGUUCGGAAUUACUGGGCGUAAAGGGCUCGUAGGUGGCCAACUAAGUCAGACGUGAAAUCCCUCGGCUUAACCGGGGAACUGCGUCUGAUACUGGAUGGCUCGAGUUUGGGAGAGGGACGCGGAAUUCCAGGUGUAGCGGUGAAAUGCGUAGAUAUCUGGAGGAACACCGGUGGCGAAGGCGGCGUCCUGGACCAACACUGACACUGAUGAGCGAAAGCCAGGGGAGCAAAGGGAUUAGAUACCCUAGUAGUCC